rnacentral:rRNA from 1 species
UUCCGGUUGAUCCUGCCGGACCUGACUGCUAUCGGAUUGAUACUAAGCCAUGCGAGUCAUUGUAGCAAUACAAGGCAGACGGCUCAGUAACGCGUAGUCAACCUGCCCUAUGGACGGGAAUAACCUCGGGAAACUGAGUAUAAUGCCCGAUAGAACAUUAUACCUGGAAUGGUUUAUGUUCCAAAUGAUUUAUCGCCGUAGGAUGGGACUGCGGCCUAUCAGUUUGUUGGUGAGGUAAUGGCCCACCAAGACUAUUACAGGUACGGGCUCUGAGAGGAGUGGCCCGGAGAUGGGUACUGAGACACGGACCCAGGCCCUAUGGGGCGCAGCAGGCGAGAAAACUUUGCAAUGUGCGAAAGCACGACAAGGUUAAUCCGAGUGGUUUCUGCUAAAGGAACCUUUUGUUAGUCCUAGAAACACUAACGAAUAAGGGGUGGGCAAGUUCUGGUGUCAGCCGCCGCGGUAAAACCAGCACCUCAAGUGGUCAGGAGGAUUAUUGGGCCUAAAGCAUCCGUAGCCUGCUUUGUAAGUUUCCGGUUAAAUCCAUUAGCUUAACUGAUGGGCCGCCGGAAAAACUGCAGAGCUAGGGAGUGGGAGAGGUAGACGGUACUCGGUAGGAAGGGGUAAAAUCCUUUGAUCUAUUGAUGACCACCUGUGGCGAAGGCGGUCUACCAGAACACGUUCGACGGUGAGGGAUGAAAGCUGGGGGAGCAAACCGGAUUAGAUACCCGGGUAGUCCCAGCUGUAAACGAUGCAGACUCGGUGAUGCCCUGGCUUGUGGCCAGUGCAGUGCCGCAGGA